rnacentral:rRNA from 1 species
GACGAACCGUGCGAACGUUAUUCGGAAUCACUGGGCUUAAAGCGCGUGUAGGCGGGACGGCGCGUCGGUCGCUGAAAGCCCCUGGCUCAACCGGGGAAGCGGCGCCGAUACGGCCGACCUGGAGGGACGUAGGGGGGCCUGGAACUUCCGGUGGAGCGGUGAAAUGCGUUGAGAUCGGAAGGAACGCCCGUGGCGAAAGCGAGGCCCUGGACGCUGCUGACGCUGAGACGCGAAAAGCCAGGGGAGCGAACGGG